rnacentral:tRNA from 1 species
GGAGAGUGGAGCCCUGAUCCAGUCUUGAAAACUGUCGUGGCUUCGCGCCACCGUGGGUUCAAAUCCCACACCCUCCG